UACGAAGGGGGGCUAGCGUUGCUCGGAAUCACUGGGCGUAAAGCGCACGUAGGCGGCUUUCUAAGUCAGGGGUGAAAUCCUGGAGCUCAACUCCAGAACUGCCUUUUGAUACUGGAGAGCUAGAGUCCGGAAGAGGUGAGUGGAACUGCGAGUGUAGAGGUGAAAUUCGUAGAUAUUCGCAAGAACACCAGUGGCGAAGGCGGCUCACUGGUCCGGUACUGACGCUGAGGUGCGAAAGCGUGGGGAGCAAACAGGG
rnacentral:rRNA from 1 species